ACUACGGGAGGCUGCAGUGGGGGAUAUUGCACAAUGGGGGAAACCCUGAUGCAGCGACGCCGCGUGUGGGAAGACGGUCCUCUGGAUUGUAAACCACUGUCCCCAGGGACGAAGAUGACGGUACCUGGGGAGGAAGCUCCGGCUAACUACGUGCCAGCAGCCGCGGUAAUACGUAGGGAGCGAGCGUUGUCCGGAAUUACUGGGUGUAAAGGGAGCGUAGGCGGGACUGCAAGUUGGGUGUCAAAUCUACCGGCUCAACCGGUAGCCGCACUCAAAACUGCAGUUCUUGAGUGAAGUAGAGGCAGGCGGAAUUCCUAGUGUAGCGGUGAAAUGCGUAGAUAUUAGGAGGAACACCAGUGGCGAAGGCGGCCUGCUGGGCUUUUACUGACGCUGAGGCUCGAAAGUGUGGGGAGCAAACAGGAUUAGAUACCCUAGUAGUC
rnacentral:rRNA from 1 species